rnacentral:rRNA from 1 species
GAAUCUUGGACAAUGGGCGCAAGCCUGAUCCAGCCAUGCCGCGUGAAUGAUGAAGGCCCUAGGGUUGUAAAAUUCUUUCGCCAGGGAAGAUAAUGACGGUACCUGGAGAAGAAGCCCCGGCUAACUCCGUGCCAGCAGCCGCGGUAAUACGGAGGGGGCUAGCGUUGUUCGGAAUUACUGGGCGUAAAGCGGGUGUAGGCGGAUCGCUAAGUCGGGGGUGAAAGCCCAGGGCUCAACCCUGGAACUGCCUUCGAUACUGGCGAUCUCGAGUACAGGAGAGGUGAGCGGAAUUCCGAGUGUAGAGGUGAAAUUCGUAGAUAUUCGGAGGAACACCAGAGGCGAAGGCGGCUCACUGGACUGUUACUGACGCUGAGACCCGAAAGCGUGGGGAGCAAACAGG